ensembl:lncRNA
CCACCAUUCAAACUUUAAAACGAAGACAAGACAUUCAACUAUUCAACUUGUAUUUAUCUUUUCAAUAUCUAUUAUACUUUUUCUUCAGUUCCAGUUUAAGUUUCAUGAUGUUUUUUCACCCGUUUCAGAGUUUAUAAUGGGUGUGUAUGGGACGGAAUGUUGGGGCUAGAGUGAGGCAGCUCAACUGCUAGAGUGAGAGGAGCAAAAAAAUUUAUCUUAAAAUCUUUUUUAAAACUGCUGCUGUGUCCGCAGCGUUUGCUCUACAGGUAUGAUUUUACCCUCAAAACGUAGCCAUGGCUGUCCUCUUUCAUCCAAUGUGUUUACUAUUGUCCUAGGUGUUACGGUUCUCUCAUAAAUGUCACCAAUGCACAGCCUCCUCCUUCCAACUCUUCCAUAGACUCUAAUGUUAAAAUGGCUCAGAAGGUUCGUUUGAAAAUCAGAAGAGCAUGGUGUCUUUCCACUGUCACCACGUCCAUAUAAUAAACUCCACAGACAUGAAAACUGAGAAUUAGGUAGACUAGACAUUGCUGUCGCUCACGGUGAAAGAAUUUUGUCAAUACGACUUUUACUUUUCAUUUGGGAGCGAUUUGUUUCGGCCUGACUCUUCUGUUCAUUUUAAGCAGCAAAAGUGAGGUGCAUGUCUGUGUACGUGUGUAUGGAGCCCUUGGGUGCAGUCACUAUAGCAACCAGGCUCACACCUGCCUGCUUAACGAGCUCUCUCUCUCACUCUGCCAAGAUUCAUCUUAAACACUUCUCUUUCAACUGCUGCUGUGUCCACAGUGUUACAGCCAUCAUUUUACCCUCAAAACGUCGCCAUCGUUGUUCUUUUUCCAACAUCUUGUCUUUCAAAGCUCAGAGAUGUAAACUUUUUAAACUGUGUGGGUCCAAGUGGAGGGAUCACAUUUUAGUCAUUCAGUGAUUCAAAGAAUAUGACCUUUUAAUAUUCUUUCAGAUGUUUUCUGACUCUAAAUGUUCUUUUCUCAUUUCUUAGGUUUUUCUAAUUUACAAUUAAAACAUUUUCAGCUUUUUUCCAACUUCUUCUUCUGUGUAACCUUCAGCUUUUAGCAGUUCAGCACUGUUGUUUUCAGGUUAAAUUCAGGUUGUUUUUUUUGUUUUUUUAUCUCAUUCAAAAUUUUUAACUCAAAAUUCAGCAAUUAAUUCAUUUCAGUCCAUACAUUCAGAUUCAAGCAUUCACACUGCAGUUUCUUCAGAAAAUGCACUUUCUAGUUAGUUUUUGUCCUUAUAAUUACUGUUGUUAUUGAUAAUUGUUAAUUUGAUUAUUAAUAAAAGUUGAACAGAGUUUUCAAGACUAAUUCACAAGAGCAAUUCAUUUCCUUUAUCAUUUUGUUCUCUAAUUAAAUUGAAGGUGGCAUCCAUAUUUUAAUAAC